AUGCUUGAGCCCGCUUGCCCAACUCCUGAGAUGUCAUCGGGAAGCUGCUGAUCAGCAAUUACAGACCCAUGCUGGAUGUGUUCGUUCAGCUCAGCCCCACCUUCUCUGAAACUAUCUCAGAACCAGUGGCUUUGGUUGGGCACUGGAAGUACAUAAAGAAGAAGACAUACAUGCUGUCUCAGGGUGAUCGUGGGUCUCUAGCCAGGAGUCAGAUGACAUCACCACCAUCACAAGCUGGUGAUGCCAGAGAGGUCAAUAAUGAAACUCGUGGCCCAUCUGUCCUUCCGGUGUGCCCUGCACUGUGCUAAGAACUUCCCAUCCACUGGAUCUCACGGAGGUUCACAGUCAUCUGAAGAGGGGGUCCUGUGUUCACCUGCAUCUUGCAGAACACAGCAAGCAGUCACCGUCUAUGAACUAGAAAGCUGAUUCACCAGACACCGAAUCUGCCAGCACCUUGGUCUUGGACUUCCCAGCCUCCAGAACUAGGAAAUGUUCCAACACAUCUGAGGAAACACAUGCCUUCCCAGACUGGCCUGUUGCUGUUUCCCAGGAGCUGCAUUCUGGAAGGUGGACCAUCAGGUGGAAGAAGUAUUCUUCAGAGAGCUGCCUUCCCAAGGGAAUGGUGACAGCUUGCGCUUGCCGGGGAGUCCUGCUGCCUUCCGAGGUGUGAAGGGAAGGCAUGCACUGUGCAUAUGCUGUACCAUACAGUUUUGCCUACAACUGCUUGUAGCUUCAUUGUAGCUGUGAAUGCUCCGUUCCUCUCCUUUUCACCCCUGAAGAUUCGCGAACAUGCAGGAUUGAGCUGUGCGAGGCAUAGCAUUCCCCACAUGGUAGACGAAGGCGGAUGUGGGUCUGAUGGCUCUACUGCCGUCCACCCGGGAGGAUGGACGUGUGUUCCGGGAUAUCAGAGCUUGCGGCUGACCAGCCCACAUGUCCAUGCAGCCCUCCCGCUGGCUGUGUCGACAUUUUGGGUGUCACUGAAGGAUUUUACUGGUGCAGACUUUACAAAGGCAAAAUUGUUUCUCAAGGAAGUGGACAUGAAAGAUCUAAAAUCAGGGCUGCUUAAAAAAAGCAAGCACAGAUUAAUGACCUAUCUACAUCCUACACGGUUUUAGGACUGCGCCUAGAUGGGCUUAAAGACCCUAGCCUAAAAACUGUAAAUGUGCUUCCGUCUUUGCCCUGUAGGACAAGAAAGCCUUACGGGCUUGCUUCUAACUGUGAGAGGAGGAGAGGCCAGGAAGGGAGAGGGAGAAAAGGAGGAGAACAGGAGACGAGAAGGAGGGGAGAGUGAGGAGAGGAGGAGAGAGGCUUGUCAAAAUCUUUUUAGUGCACAAAACUAAUUUUGUUCAUCUUGGAUUUGGUGAGCUGGGUAAUAUUCUGUGCACGGCUCCUAAAUGAAUUAUUAAAUGUCAACUCAAGAUGGCUUAACUAAAAUACUCAAUUUAAUAACCAAAAGUAUCUAAGGUAACAACAACAAUUUUGCAGGUGAUUGUAGAGUUGUCAAGUCAAACCAUUAUAGACAAGCAUUUGGGGUUUUCACAUAAUCUCCUUCCACAUCUCAUCUUCUGUCACUAAAUACCCACUCUGGUGAGCAUAUUCCAUUUCAAUAAAGAUCAUCGCUUCGG
ensembl:lncRNA LINC03103 long intergenic non-protein coding RNA 3103